CAUCGUUAAUAACUUUAUUGACUAACUUUCUCUUUUAACUAUACUAGAUUCUUAUUUUACUUUCACUUUCACUUUCUAUUUAUAUCUAUAACGUCGUCAUAACAACCUCUAUUGUUCAGGCAAACCGCACAACCGCAAAAUUUGUACUUCACUGUUUGAUUUCAUGUAUAAUAUUGUCCUGAAGACGCCACGCUUGUUGGCGAAACAUGUCGACCACAAUAAAUUAAUCACCAUGCGGUAAUUGAUGGGUGUUGUUGUCUUUAUUGUCG
rnacentral:lncRNA from 1 species